rnacentral:rRNA from 1 species
CCUACGGGUGGCAGCAGUGAGGGAUAUUGGUCAAUGGGGGAAACUCUGAACCAGCAACGCCGCGUGAGUGAAGACGGUUUUCGGAUUGUAAACCUCUGUCUUCUGUGACGAUAAUGACGGUAGCAGCGGAGGAAGCCCCGGCUAACUUCGUGCCAGCAGCCGCGGUAAUACGAAGGGAGCAAGCGUUGUUCGGAUUUACUGGGCGUAAAGGGAGCGUAGGCGGUUUAGCAAGUCAGUGGUGAAAUCCAAGGGCUUAACUCUGGAAUUGCCAUUGUAACUGUUAGGCUUGAAUUACGUAGAGGUAGGCGGAAUACCUGGUGUAGCGGUGAAAUGCGUAGAGAUCGGGUAGAACACCAGUGGCGAAGGCGGCCAGCUGGGCUCUAAUUGACGCUGAGGCACGAAAGCGUGGGUAGCAAACAGGAUUAGAUACCCCAGUAGUC